rnacentral:tRNA from 1 species
ACCUUCGUGGUGUAAUGGUCAGCGCACUCGGCGCGUAUUCGAGAGAUCGGAGUUCGAGUCCUGGCGAGGGUU